rnacentral:rRNA from 1 species
AUUGAACGCUGGCGGCAGGCCUAACACAUGCAAGUCGAGCGGAUGAAGGGAGCUUGCUCCUGGAUUCAGCGGCGGACGGGUGAGUAAUGCCUAGGAAUCUGCCUGGUAGUGGGGGAUAACGUCCGGACACGGGCGCUAAUACCGCAUACGUCCUGAGGGAGAAAGUGGGGGAUCUUCGGACCUCACGCUAUCAGAUGUGCCUAGGUCGGAUUAGCUAGUUGGUGGGGUAAAGGCCUACCAAGGCGACGAUCCGUAACUGGUCUGAGAGGAUGAUCAGUCACACUGGAACUGAGACACGGUCCAGACUCCUACGGGAGGCAGCAGUGGGGAAUAUUGGACAAUGGGCGGAAGCCUGAUCCAGCCAUGCCGCGUGUGUGAAGAAGGUCUUCGGAUUGUAAAGCACUUUAAGUUGGGAGGAAGGGCAGUAAGUUAAUACCUUGCUGUUUUGACGUUACCAACAGAAUAAGCACCGGCUAACUUCGUG